rnacentral:misc_RNA from 1 species
GUUAAAAUAUAUUUUCCGGCGAAUUUUCAUAAGGCAGAGGAAAGGAAUGAAACGAUGGCCAAGGCAGGGAUUUCUCCCUUUAAUUUGAUUGCACAGCAAAUUCCAAGGCGUUUCGUGAUAGCGAGGGCUAGGAAUCCUCAAAGCGUGGACGUAAUCAAUGGAAAAAAGUUGAACGGUGUACAUGUAACAGAGACUCAGGAUAUAGGGAAGAUGAAUGUGGAUGAUAUUGUUGAGCAACCUCUUCACACGUGCUUACUUGGUAGGUUUCUGGAGGAAAGGUUGAUCUAUAGACAGACCUUCAUUGUUAGGUCUUACGAGAUUGGACCUGACAAAACUGCCACCAUGGAAACAUUGAUGAAUUUCCUUCAGGAGACUGCACUUAACCAUGUCACAAGCUCUGGGCUUGCCGGAAACGACUUUGGCGCUACCCGGCAGAUGAGCCUCAGAAAACUCAUUUGGGUAGUCACCCGCAUCCACAUUCAAGUAGAAAGAUACAGCUGCUGGGGAGAUGUUGUGGAGAUUGAUACCUGGGUUGAUGCAGACGGGAAAAAUGCAAUGCGCAGGGACUGGAUAAUCCGAGAUUAUAAUACACAAGAGAUCAUAACAAGAGCAACAAGUACAUGGGUGAUAAUGAACAGAGAAACAAGAAAGCUAUCAAAAAUCCCAGAACAAGUCAGGCAAGAGUUGGUACCAUUCUAUACAAAUAGGAUUGCAGUUUCUGGGGAGAACAACGAUGUUUUAAAAAUCGAUAAGCUUGCUGAUGAAACUGCAGAAAGAAUUCAAUCUGGCUUAGCUCCAAGAUGGAGCGAUAUGGACGCCAAUCUGCACGUAAAUAAUGUCAAAUACAUUGGAUGGAUCUUGGAGAGCGUUCCAAUAAAUGUCCUGGAAGAUUACAAUCUCACAAGCAUGACCAUGGAGUAUCGACGUGAGUGUCGACAAUCGAAUCUGCUAGAGUCCUUAACAAGCACAACUGAAGAUUUGAAUAAUAAUUCUUGUAAUCGACAAGCAGACCUGGAAUAUACGCAUUUGCUUCGCAUGCAAAACGAUAAAGCAGAGAUAGUACGAGCAAGAACAGAAUGGCAAUCCAAACUAUAAUGUGAUUUUUAACAUGGAACAUGCUUGUCUUUCUUGUGUAAUUCGUUUGUUGCUAUACAUUAGGUAGAACAAAAAUAAAUGGGCUUUGCACAUUUUUUCAAGCACAUUAAAUUUGAUACCGAAUAAACUAUAGGAGUUUGUUUCCUAUAGCUGCGAAAAUUACUGCAAAAUCAUACAGCUUCAAGCAAUAAUCUAUGGAAAGCUUCAUGUUUAUAG